rnacentral:rRNA from 1 species
AUUGAACGCUGGCGGCAUGCCUUACACAUGCAAGUCGAACGGCAACAGGUCUUCGGAUGCUGACGAGUGGCGAACGGGCGAGUAAUACAUCGGAACGUGCCCGGUCGUGGGGGAUAACGAAGCGAAAGCUUUGCUAAUACCGCAUACGAUCUACGGAUGAAAGCAGGGGACCGCAAGGCCUUGCGCGAACGGAGCGGCCGAUGGCAGAUUAGGUAGUUGGUGGGAUAAAAGCUUACCAAGCCGACGAUCUGUAGCUGGUCUGAGAGGACGACCAGCCAAACUGGGACGGAGACACGGCCCAGACUCCUACGGGAGGCAGCAGUGGGGAAUUUUGGACAAUGGGCGAAAGCCUGAUCCAGCCAUGCCGCGUGCUGGAUGAAGGCCUUCGGGUUGUAAACUGCUUUUGUACGGAACGAAAAGACUCUGGUUAAUACCUGGGGUCCAUGACGGUACCGUAAGAAUAAGCACCGGCUAACUACGUGCCAGCCGCCGCCGUAACAC